ACUUUGGUUAGCUUUGUGGUUUGUGACUUUCAGGUGUACUGAAAUAAUGAAAUUGCUAUAGGAAGGAAAGAAAAACUGAUUAAUGUCAAAUUAAUUAGAAUCCAUAAUAUAUUAAAUUUGCAUGUCUGCAAUGAAAUAUAUAUUUGUCAAUACCAAGUUAUAGGUAUUGUAGCAUACAAAAGGAUGAAAUAUAUGUUAAUUAUCUCUUAAGAUCAAGGAGCUUCAGAGCUUCAUAAAUAUUGUUCGAUGAAGCUGUGAAAGUAGGUUUGAAGUUGGGAACUCGAGUAAAUUCGAUAACGAAAUUAGUCUUAGUAUAUAUUUGGGAGCUUCUAUCUAAUGGUCUCAUCAAUGUUAACCUCUGCAAAAGUUUUCCUUUCCACCAGAGAAUUGAAAACAAAAGUCCACUGCAAAAUAAAUGCCUUGGAAAGGACAAUCUUGAUUCUUGAACCAUAUCCAUAGCCUUAUAACAAAAGACUAAGGAACUAAAUAACUUUAGUUAUUAUUGAUUACUACUUCAAUAAAUUAUGUCAUUAACUUUUAGAGUUUAGAAGGAGGAGAAGAAGAGGAAGAGGAAGUAGACACCCGUUCCUCUUUUUGAAUGGGUGUGAUUACCUUUAUAUACAUCUCUCUCUUUUUUCUCGAUUAGGUUAAGCUGGUACUGGUCCUCCCUUCCGGUGAGGAGUUCG
rnacentral:misc_RNA from 1 species